ensembl:miRNA
GCGGCGGCGGCGGGGGCGGUAUCCCGGCCGGCCUGUGAGGGAUGCGCCGCCCACUGCCCCGCGCCGCCUGACC